rnacentral:rRNA from 1 species
GUAGAGGCUCACCAGGGCGACGAUGCGUAGCCGGCCUGAGAGGGUGGACGGCCACACUGGGACUGAGACACGGCCCAGACUCCUACGGGAGGCAGCAGUAGGGAAUAUUGCACAAUGGGCGAAAGCCUGAUGCAGCAACGCCGCGUGAAUGAUGAAGGCCUUCGGGUUGUAAAAUUCUGUUAUAAGGGAAGAACGACUUUAGUAGGAAAUGGCUAGAGUGUGACGGUACCUUAUGAGAAAGCCACGGCUAACUACC